GUAAAAAGGAUUGUAGGCAGAGAAGAUGUCAUUUGGUUGUUUCUCCCUUUUGGAGAUUUUAGUCUACAGAAUUCUUUUACCGACUCACACCUUCCUACCUGAUCAUGGGGAGUUUAGCUUUAGAUAGCAAGGGUAACAGCCUCACCACCCCCAUCUGUACAUUCCCCUCUCCCUAGCUUCCUUGUAGAGAUGUAUUCGGUUAGUAACUGAUAGAUCCGUCAUUGAUCUAAUGUAGUGAAUUUUCCCCAUAGGAUUGGUCCCUCCUUUGUUUCUUGUAAAUGCAGAACAAUUGCCAUCUUGAAUCUAGUAAUGUAUUACAGAAUGUAGGGAGUGUGUUGCAUUUCUGUGGUUCAGGUGGGCUGUUUCUGUUUCAGUCAAUAAAAUGGUUUUAAGGGCUUAGGGGUUUUACAGGAAAUGAUAUAUGCAUAAAAGUUGACGGAUGAAACUGUUCAUGAGUUCUGUUGCAGCUGUCACUUGUCCUAUCAUUUUACACAGAUGGUGAUGGGAUUUGCGCCCACUUUGUGUUGUGCAGAAAGUGAAAGUGCAAGCAGCUAGCUGGCAGUGUCAAAUAAAAUUGUAAAUCCCAACUUCUCAUUUGUGCUCUUUCAAGUUCGACUGUUUGCAAGAUAUUGAGGACUCUUGUGACGCUGUUGAUGUAAUCUCGGAUCCUGCUUGUCCAAUAGUAAAUAUGUGUUUAGGACAAACAUUGGAAUAUGGGGGAUGCUGUUGAAGCUAAUAAGACACCAGGAUGAACUUUGGUCGGUAUCAUCCAUCCUUAGAUCAAUGAUCCUUGUGGCUUCUUUUGGUUUGGGGAGUGGAACGCUGUUGUUUCAUGUUUGAUUGGAAGUCGAAGAAGCUGAGUGGUCUCUUGGAUGAAUACAGUAUUUCGCACGCAAAUUUUCCUUAAAAGCUCCAGAUUAUCAAAGCUGCCACAAGUUUCAUGAAAACCUCACGAACAGCUAGCUGUCCCAGCAGUCAGCUAACAUACAUAAACUUUGCUCAAAUGCCACAGAAAGAUGACCGGGACUCCGGAAGAUCAAGAAGAUAGAGAAGGUACUUGCCAUUGGGGUAAGGCAGGGACCCAGAUAUCCUCAAAUCCUAUCAGGCCAUGGCCAGACACUAGGGAGCACAAGAAGGGAGGAUCGUUUGAUGCAAGUGAGACUACCAACAAGCUACCAUUCCAAAUGACAAUUGCAAUAAUCACCAGCGCGUGACAGUGAAUCCAACAAUUCAUUCCAGCAUGUUUGCUACACACAACCAGUAAUUGCAGCUGGUUUAUUUAAUAACAUCUGAAAAUACGAGUCACCAGCAUAGAUAUGUUGAUGAUCACAACCUCACAGGAGGGAUCAAUCACAUUACAUCAUACUGACACCAGACACCGCUGGGAUAAUAACAUAGCAUUAGCAUGGAUAGUUGGAUCUUAUUAACUUGUAAAUUAAGGAGGAGGGCCCCCUAAUCAUCAAUCAGCCAAUCCCACUUCCUUGAGGUAGGCCCACGGCCGCCAGUCCAUGCGGUCCUCGUCGUCGUCGUCCUCGGGGUCGGUGUACUCGAUGUCGGCGUACCCUUGGAUCUCGUACUGCCUGCACAUCUCAGCAUACCUGUCGAUGUCCCUCUGGGCCUCGGCGGCGAUCUCCAGAUCCAUGGCGCGGAGGACAGGGUCGUCAGAGAGGAGCGUGUAGGGCCUGAGAGGAGACUCCAUCAUCUUCAUCUCGAUGCGCUCCUUGUCGAGCCUCACCAGCUUCUUCCUCUUCUUCCGGGACCCGCCGGCUUGGCGGCCUUGGUCGUCGAGCGCUUGUUGAGGCCGCUGCCCAGCACGGCGUAGACGUACAUGUACUUCAUGUCCAACGUGAUGCUGAGGCCGCCGGGCAACUCGGGGUCGUCUCGCACCCGAGCAAACCCCAGAACCACCUUGUAGGGCUUCUUCUCCUCCCCCUCGGUCUUGGGAUGCUCGGUGCUGCCGGCACCGGCCACCGCGGACUUGAAGGCCUUCUCCUCGCUCUCAGUCAUGGGAUGCUUGGUGCUGCCGGCGCCGCUGCCCUCCUCGAACUUGGCCCGCAACCGAGCAAACCUCGACGCGAGAUCCGUCGCCUGGGUCUUCGUCCCCUCCUUCUCUCCCCUCGACCGGAGGAAGGAGGGGAGCCCUAUAUAUAUGCAUGGUCCAGCAACCCUACCGGACAGCGACUUGGGGCUCAGGCCCAGAUCCACAACCCACUAACCACUUGACCCACUACAUGAUGAAGUCCACAUCACCCAGCUCAUCUAGUCUACUAGAAGGGGAGAGUUCACCCCCUAAAAAAAAAAAUACUGCAAGGAGUUCAGGGGAAUCAGGAGGCUAUUGGUUCUGAUCAAUGAGAUGCCUACCGAUAUCUGUGCCUCUUUUCUGUUGCCUGGGCUUGAUUUAGACAUGGUGCUUACUAAUUUAGACGUGGUGCUUACUAAUGUUGGCGACGCUCCUCUAUUCGUAGAGCUUGGCAAGGAGGGAACAGAUCAAAUGUCCAAGAAAAUGUCCUGUUCCAAGGGGAGUGAUUCGUGCACACCAAGUGCUAAGCAUGUGCUUGGUUUUGGACUGAAAAGGGAUUGGAUCGGGUCAAACCUAGAAGAAUCAGUGUUGUUUUCAUAAUACGUUCCUGUAUUUCUAGAUAAGGAAAACGUACAUGUACUCGUACGGAUACAGAGACGUACGGUAACGAUACAGAGGCAGUUGUAGCAACCAAACUUGGCAGAAGACCCUGAAAGAAAUAAACAUUACAACCAUGACCCUAGGAUUAUCUGCAAGCCGAAGUAGCUCGAAAUCCUCUUCGCCGGCCGCCGCCGUCGAGGAAGACAACGAACCUAACCCCGAGCUGGAAGAGCCCCAUCGCACACAGGCUUUGAAAGGAGUCGAAGUCGACACCCGUCCCGAGAGACGGGAUGUAGCCAUCGGCGUUCGCCCAUCGACCGGGGCCACGCAGAGAAGAUGUCAUUUGGUUGUUUCUUCCUUUUGGAGAUUUUAGUCUACAGGAUUCUUUUUCCGACUCACAACUUCCUACCUGAUCAUGGGGAGUUUAGCUUUAGAUAGCAAGGGUAACAGCCUCACCACCCCCAUCUGUACAUUCCCCUCUCCCUAGCUUCCUUGUAGAGAUGUAUUCGGUUAGUAACUGAUAGAUCCGUCAUUGAUCUAAUGUAGUGAAUUUUCCCCAUAGGAUUGGUCCCUCCUUUGUUUCUUGUAAAUGCAGAACAAUUGCAAUCUUGA
rnacentral:lncRNA from 1 species